rnacentral:rRNA from 1 species
CACUAUGCCUAGCCCUAAACAUUGACAGUUAAUUACACCCACUGUCCGCCUGGGAACUACGAGCACCAGCUUAAAACCCAAAGGACUUGGCGGUGCUUUAGACCCACCUAGAGGAGCCUGUUCUAGAACCGAUAAUCCCCGUUAAACCUCACCCUUCCUUGUCAUUUCCGCCUAUAUACCACCGUCGCCAGCUUACCCUGUGAAGGCCCAAUAGUAAGCGCAAUCGGCAAUGCCCAGAACGUCAGGUCGAGGUGUAGCGUAUGGAAGGGGAAGAAAUGGGCUACAUUUACUAAUACAGUAAAUACGGAUGAUUACCCUGCAACGAGUAUCUGAAGGAGGAUUUAGCAGUAAGCAAAAAGCAGAGUGUUUUGCUGAAGUUGGCCCUGAAGCGUGCACACACCGCCCGUCACUCUCUCCGAACUAAAACUUUAAACAUAACUAAUAUGCUAUAACUGUAAAGGGGAGGCAAGUCGUAA